rnacentral:lncRNA from 1 species
UGGUCUGUUUUAUAAGUGGCAAAAGUUUGGAUUUUCAGACAUCAUCAGGAAAUUUCCAAGAAUUUUUCUAAACCGCUUCUGGUUUUUGGGGGCUUUUUGCAAGCCAACGUUAAACACUAAUUUUUUACGUAAUAAUAAUGUCAAUUUCCUAGAACCGAUUAAUCAUUCGGCAAUUAAUUGCUUGUAAUUGCCCGAAAAUAUUCUCCAAUUAGAAUAUUUGUUUUUUAUGUUAAAUUUAGCGCUGUUCUAGAGGACACUCUUAAAAUUCCACAAGUGCCACUCCUGCUCCAAGAAGGUGAUGAAUUAAACAAUGUGAACCCACUAAAGACCAGCUAGAUGACCUCCACCUGAUUCAACGGUCAUCAGGAUCCCACAAUCCGACAUCGGUGGUUUUGCGCAUUUAGUAUCUCAUCAACAAAGUGAAAUUACCGAUAAGAGCAAAUAAUAAUGAUCAAGGCGUUGAUAAUGAGUAAUGAGCAGCUUGGAUUAUCGGCUACACAUCGACUGAUAAACCAACAGUGCGCAUCUAAGAUCCGGAUUAGUUUCACGGUUUUAUGUGCUAAUGUUUUACGUUUUAGUGACUAGUGAUGAAGUAACUGGUGCCAAUACAAUAGCCAUAAGCUGAUAUUGACCCACAGUUAUGUCGGAUCCAAAUCCUGACCCCAAAAGUGCAUGCUUGGACCAACCGAUUGGCAAAGUUAGCAAUGGGGCAAAGCCAGUUGCUUGGGAAGAGAGAGAUUCUGAAGCUCCAAAAAGUGAAGAACCACACGAGAACAGUUCUUCAAACGAUCCAAAUAAUCAGCCGAACUCUCAGAACCACCUAUCGAAAAGCGAGCAGUUUUUAGGGCAAAUUCCCUCAAAAUUGAAGAGGAACUCGAGUGACUCCAGACUCAGCGAACAAGAGCUCAGAAAUGGCCAGUGGCGUUACAGUGACUUGCUGAAACACGACUCUGAAACAGCAAACGAAAAACCAAUGGCGGACAGUAACCGAGAGGAAGACGCAAAAGACGC